ACUGAAUUCUUUCUCAUCACAUGGCUCCCUAGAUGAAAGGAAAGGUCUCACACUGUGACAACCUUCCCCCAACCCACUAUCAAGGAUUCUGACAACUAUCCCUUUCCCUAGUACCGUCUUUAUACAAACUGGGGAUUGGGGAAAGGUAAGGGGGUGAUAUCGUGAUUGGUUAUCAGAAAGCUGGCUUGGCCACUAACUCUUGGCAAUCAGGUGGAAGCUACUCUUAGAAUUACUUCUUUCUGUUUUCAGCAUAGCUCAAAUUCCUGGGCAAAAGAAAAACUCUUAACCAGAUGGGGCAGCUCAUGCCUGCAAUCCCAACAUUUUGGAAGGCCAAGGCGAGAGGAUUGCUUGAGCUCAGGAGUUUGAGACUAACCUGGGCAACAGAGUGAGAUGCCCUCUGUACAAAAACUUCUUAAAAAUUAGCCAGGCAGAAGGGGGAACAGAGAAAGAAGGAGAUGUCAC
rnacentral:lncRNA from 10 species